CUCUGCAGUGAGGGUAGCAUAGAGUUGCGACCUGGGCAGGUGCUCUGACCUUAAUAUGAUGUGGUGGUUGUUGUUCAUUUAAAAGAACAGAGACUGGAGAUGGAGCCUCUCAGCUGCUGGACCAGCAUGCAGUAUCUCAGCCCCCGGGUCACAUUUUCAAAAUCAUCGUAUUAUUUAUUUAUUGCAAAAUAUCUGUUGGUGGCCAUUUGCCUGGCUCCUUUCAUCGGACAUUGCUGGACAGGAAUGCAGUGUCCCUGCCCUCACGGAGCUUGUACUUUUGCUGGGGCGACCUGUAAAAAGCCGGCAAGCACAAAGCAAUGAGCCAAGUAGUGAGCUGCAGAAAACUUCUCCACCCCACAUGAGCCCUCCUCCUGCUACUGCCUCAGCCUGCUUUGCUGUGCAGCUGUGAAGUGCUGGUUCCAUGGACCGGGCUCCUGGGCUUGAGUGGAAAGUGAGGCUGGUGUGAACAGAAGAAGAGGAAGGUAUGGACGUUUUCUCGGAGCGGUGUCUUAGCCUAUGGAAUUGUUUCUGAUUGUUGUCUGGCUUGACUUUAAGUGUAUUCUCCUCCCACAACAUUCUCCCAUCAGUGGUGACAUAGGCAGGAGCUCCAAUCCCAAAGAAAGAUGUCGGGAUCACUAACCAAAGGCAUGAGGACUUUGUGCAAGGAGGGCGAGUUCUUACAUAGGCCUCUGGUAAAUUUGGCCACUGAAGAUGCCCAUUUCCUCUGACCUUGGUUCAUGGCCUUCCAGAGGCCUAAGAAUGUCUUCUUUGGACCCGGGUGUUCCCAGGUUAGAGACACCUCCCUGAUAAAUCAAAUUUCUCUUGUGGGGAGGGAAUGGAAGUGUUAUGUAGAGAGUGGAAGGAAAAUGAGGGAAUUCUAAUAGAGACUUAAAAUAUAUUGAUUGAAUCUGUUUUACAAUGUAGAAGAAUGAUAAUUUCUUUGUUGUAAUUAAAAAUAAAUAUGUAUAUUAUUUAUGUCAAAUCAAAA